UACAGAGGGGGCAAGCGUUGUUCGGAAUUACUGGGCGUAAAGGGCGCGUAGGCGGCCUACUAAGUCAGACGUGAAAUCCCCCGGCUUAACCUGGGAACUGCGUCUGAUACUGGAAGGCUUGAGGAUGGGAGAGGGAUGUAGAAUUCCAGGUGUAGCGGUGAAAUGCGUAGAUAUCUGGAGGAAUACCGGUGGCGAAGGCGGCAUCCUGGACCAUUACUGACGCUGAGGCACGAAAGCGUGGGGAGCAAACAGG
rnacentral:rRNA from 1 species